rnacentral:misc_RNA from 1 species
UGCAUCACCUCUAAUGUAAAACAUGGGAAGCAGGGUUUUGGAAGGGGACUUCUUUCCACUUUGCUCGGCAAACUGGGCAACUCUGGUUCCCAUGUUUUACAUUAGAGGUGAUGCAAUGGAAGUGGAAGGAAUGCGAGCAUUCUGCAGUAAAAAUAGCAUGGCCAUGUCCUGGUUUCAUGGCAGUCAGGCAUAUUGCACAGGUACUCUUAGAGGAUUUGGUUCCGGAUUUGGACAAGCGGAGGCCAGAAGAGGACGGAGUGGAAGUAGUGGAGCCACGGGAAAGAGCAGAGGCAGGAGAGAGGGAAACGGCGUCGGAGAAUCUGGAAGGAGAAGGCGAGGAA